rnacentral:rRNA from 1 species
AUACGGGUGGUGCAAGCGUUAAUCGGAAUUACUGGGCGUAAAGCGCGCGUAGGCGGUUAAAUAAGUUGGAUGUGAAAGCCCCGGGCUCAACCCGGGAACUGCAUUCGAUACUGGGGUGCUUGAGUCUGGUAGAGGGAAGUGGAAUUCCGGGUGUAGCGGUGAAAUGCGUAGAUAUCGGAAGGAACACCAGUGGCGAAGGCGACUUCCUGGGCCAAUACUGACGCUGAGGUGCGAAAGCGUGGGGAGCAAACAGGAUUAGAAACCCGGGUAGUCC